GAAGGCUUUGUUGCAAAUGGUGCACUUGUACUGCUUCUCUCCGCUGUGGGUCAGCUUGUGGUUCUUGUAGUUGCCUGCGACAGAGGAAAAAGAUGGAAAAGGGGGUUACCCGAGGGUGCCCGGGCCGCACGGCGCACAGCCAGGCGUUAUGUCCCCAAAACACUGCCUGCCUGUGAGGAGUGGAGAGAGACAUCCUGGGUGAAGUCUGGUGCGAGACAGGUGUGGCCCAGGAGGCAGUGGAGGAAUCGGUGGAAUCCACAUCAUGUCCGAAGUCAACCCGCACAUGCUUCUCCUCUCCAGCUGCCAGCCUGGGACAUCCCCCCGAGAUCAGCUGCUUGUGGAGUUCUCUCUGCCGAAAACAGUCCUAACCAGUGCGGCCUUUGUUCCCCCCAGCUGUCGUAUCCUCCAGGAUCUG